rnacentral:misc_RNA from 1 species
AACAAUCUUCAUUUUCUCCAAAUCAAACUUUAAUUUAUUCCCAGCAGCAUAAAAUCCAAUUAAGAAAUCAGUCUUAUUCAACAGCCCAAUCGGACUUCCAGUAAUGUCAUUAUCCGAUAAAUCAAUAUAGUCGUAAAAAUACGUUGUUUUUGGGUUCCAAUCAUCCAAUUUGAUCUUGAUCCCGCAUUUUGCUAGCUUCAAUGAGUAUAUAAUCGGAGAUGAAGUCACCCAA